UUGGAGUGGUGGAGCCCAAUACAUUACCUCAUUAAGGGCACAAGCAGCAUCUAACUCAUACUGGGUAACCUCCCUUUCUUCAAACUCUGCUCGGUCCCUAAUGAGGUGUAUCCGGAUAAGUUGUGCUAGGUUUCUCUUUGUCUUGUCCCGAUUCUCUUUCAUUCUCUGAAGCCGAUGCAACUCAUCCCUUUGGUCUGGUGUGAGUAUGCGUAUAUCAAAGGGUGGUGGCUUCACAUAUGGCUGAUCUUCAAUGCGAUCUUCAAAUGUCUCUUCCUCUUCUUGUGGCUUCUCAGAGUAGCUUGAAGCCAUCUCUACAAAUAACAAAAGCUAGAAGAAGAGGUUAGUAGCUAUACAAAAGCAAAACAAAGCAUAAGAAAAUAAAGCUUAAUCUCAAGAAAGUUUGAAAUCUUAAUGACAAAUCUACUUAGUUCCCCGGCAACGGCGCCAAAUUGAUUACGCGUUUAAGCACACACCAAUUAACCUAAUGUGCCAACAAUACCACAAUCGAA
rnacentral:lncRNA from 1 species